GAGCGAGAGGGAGUAGCAAUACUCUAGUAAAGCGGCGCACGNGGUGAGUAACACGUGGGUAAUCUGCCUCGAAGUGGGGAAUAACACCGGGAAACCGGUGCUAAUACCGCAUAAUCUGAUGGGGUCUGCGGAUCUUGUCAGCAAAGGAGCAAUUCGCUUUGAGAGGAGCCCGCGGCUGAUUAGCUAGUUGGUGAGGUAAUGGCUCACCAAGGCCACGAUCAGUAGCCGGUCUGAGAGGACGGUCGGCCACACUGGAACUGAGACACGGUCCAGACUCCUACGGGAGGCAGCAGUGGGGAAUUUUUGGCAAUGGGGGCAACCCUGACCAAGCAACGCCGCGUGGGUGAUGAAGUCUCUUGGGACGUAAAACCCUUUCGACGGGGACGAAACCGCAAGGUUGACGGUACCCGUAGAAGAAGCCCCGGCUAACUCCGUG
rnacentral:rRNA from 1 species